rnacentral:rRNA from 1 species
UGAUGCGAUCAUACCAGCACUAAAGCACCGGAUCCCAUCAGAACUCCUAAGUUAUGUGUGCUUGGGCGAGAGUAGUACUAGGAUGGGUGACCUCCUGGGAAGUCCUCGUGUUGCAUUCC